CCCUUAGAUGUUCUGGGCCGCACGCGCGCUACACUGAUGCAUUCAACGAGCCUAUCCUUGACCGACAGGUCCGGGUAAUCUUUGAAUCUGCAUCGUGACGGGGAUAGAUUAUUGCAAUUAUUGCUCUUCAACGAGGAAUACCUAGUAAGCGUGAGUCAUCAGCUCGCGUUGAUUACGUCCCUGCCCUUUGUACACACCGCCCGUCGCUACUACCGAUUGAAUGGCUUAGUGAGGUCUUGGGAUUGGCUUCGAGGAACCGGCAACGGUACCUUGUUGCUGAGAACUUGAUCAAACUUGGUCAUUUAGAGGAAGUAAAAGUCGUAACA
rnacentral:rRNA from 1 species